rnacentral:rRNA from 2 species
CACACGACUCUCAGCAACGGAUAUCUCGGCUCUCGCAUCGAUGAAGAACGUAGCGAAAUGCGAUACCUGGUGUGAAUUGCAGAAUCCCGCGAACCAUCGAGUCUUUGAACGCAAGUUGCGCCCGAGGCCACUCGGCCGAGGGCACGCCUGCCUGGGCGUCACGC